GUGAGGAAUAUUGGACAAUGGGCGCAAGCCUGAUCCAGCCAUGCCGCGUGCAGGAAGACGCAUCUAUGGUGUGUAAACUGCUUUUGUACGGGAAGAAACACUCCCUCGUGAGGGAGCUUGACGGUACCGUAAGAAUAAGGAUCGGCUAACUCCGUGCCAGCAGCCGCGGUAAUACGGAGGAUCCAAGCGUUAUCCGGAAUCAUUGGGUUUAAAGGGUCCGUAGGCGGUUUAAUAAGUCAGUGGUGAAAGCCCAACGCUCAACGAUGGAACGGCCAUUGAUACUGUUAGACUUGAAGUACAAGGAAGUAACUAGAAUAUGUAGUGUAGCGGUGAAAUGCUUAGAUAUUACAUGGAAUACCAAUUGCGAAGGCAGGUUACUACUUGUGGAUUGACGCUGAUGGACGAAAGCGUGGGGAGCGAACAGGAUUAGAUACCCCGGUAGUCC
rnacentral:rRNA from 1 species